UACGUAGGGUGCAAGCGUUUGUCCGGAAUUAUUGGGCGUAAAGAGCUCGUAGGCGGUCUGUCGCGUCUGGUGUGAAAACUCAGGGCUUAACCCUGAGCUUGCAUCGGGUACGGGCAGACUAGAGUGUGCUAGGGGAGACUGGAAUUCCUGGUGUAGCGGUGAAAUGCGCAGAUAUCAGGAGGAACACCGGUGGCGAAGGCGGGUCUCUGGGCCGUAACUGACGCUGAGGAGCGAAAGCGUGGGGAGCGAACAGG
rnacentral:rRNA from 1 species